UUUAAAAGUAGAGAAAUAUGCUGAUUUCUUUUUAUUUAUUUGUAUAAUUUCAAAAACAUAUAGAAACAAUAAAAUGCAAGUUGUGCAGUUUGUUUGCACUUUUGAUCAUCUGUGCAUCAUGAAGCUCCCUUUCCAAUGCCUUUUGAUUAGACUUGGAGUUUGUUGGGUUAUGUUGCAAUACCUCUACUAAAAAUGUUAAUAAAUAGACAUAAUUCACUGUUUUCUUGUCAAUCUCUAAAAAAGUAUGCAACUAUCAAUCAAGCGACCUUUACUCACCUGUCAAAAGAAAAUCAUUAAAAAUGUAAAAUUUCAAAUAUCUCCCAACGUGUAAGGAACAUAAACAUACCCCCUU